UACAGAGGGUGCGAGCGUUAAUCGGAAUUACUGGGCGUAAAGCGCGCGUAGGCGGCUUUUCAAGUCGAUUGUGAAAUCCCCGGGCUUAACCUGGGAACUGCAGUCGAGACUGUCUAGCUAGAGUAUGGGAGAGGGAAGUGGAAUUUCAGGUGUAGCGGUGAAAUGCGUAGAUAUCUGAAGGAACAUCAGUGGCGAAAGCGACUUCCUGGACCAAUACUGACGCUCAUGUGCGAAAAGCGUGGGGAGCAAACAGG
rnacentral:rRNA from 1 species